UUGCAAACCUGGCUGACUGGAGAAACGGGGAGUCAGGAGGAGGAGCUUGGGGUGAAAUUAGGUGAGCUUGGCAGAACUGAGUUUGAGGAUGGCCGAUGCUCCCAGCGGAGACUUUCAUCAGGCAGCUGGAAAGGGGAGUCAAUACAACCCAGAAGCAGAGCCAGGUGCAAACAGAUUGCCAGUUUGUUAUAAAAGGAUACCACUCUGAAGAGCCAGAUGGAAGAGGCGUUGUCAGGACAAGGUUUGGGAGAAGGGGUGCAGUUUCCACACCCUGAAAGAUGGGGAGACUGAAGCCUGGAGUGGAGAAGUGCUUUAUCAGUUACUGGAAGAAGCAAGCUGAGCAUCUCUUGGCCCUGAAAGG